CCCUUAGAUGUUCUGGGCCGCACGCGCGCUACACUGAUGCAUUCAACGAGUUUCUUCCUGGUCCGAGAGGAAUGGGUAACCUUUUGAAAGUGCAUCGUGAUAGGGAUAGACUAUUGCAAUUAUUGGUCUUCAACGAGGAAUUCCUAGUAGACGUAGUUCAUCAGACUGUAUCGAUUACGUCCCUGCCCUUUGUACACACCGCCCGUCGCUCCUACCGAUUGAAUGCUCAGGUGAGCCAUUCGGACUUUCAUCAUGCUGGUUUCCAGUUUUGAUGAAGGAAAGUCUUGCGAACCUUAUCAUUUAGAGGAAGGAGAAGUCGUAACA
rnacentral:rRNA from 1 species